rnacentral:rRNA from 1 species
UACGGGGGGUGCGAGCGUUGUCCGGAAUCACUGGGCGUAAAGGGUGCGUAGGCGGCGCGGUAAGUCGGGUGUGAAAUCUCGGAGCUUAACUCCGAAACUGCAUUCGAUACUGCCGUGCUUGAGGACUGGAGAGGAGACUGGAAUUUACGGUGUAGCGGUGAAAUGCGUAGAUAUCGUAAGGAAGACCAGUGGCGAAGGCGGGUCUCUGGACAGUUCCUGACGCUGAGGCACGAAGGUCAGGGGAGCAAACGGG